AUCUGUUCCAAAGUUUUGUUUGCAGCUUUCAACAUGGCGGCUGCGUGUAGCGAUGUUCGUCAAAAGUCACUUUUAUGAGAUCAUAAGUUGAAAGAUUACCGACAUAAAGAAAGAAAGAGCUAAUCUGGAUAAAAAUAGCGAACAGUAUAGGAUACGACGUUAAUACUAUCAGACAUCGAUAGAAAUGUCUACGAGAUAGAUACGUUAGGCAGUGCAAGGCUCAAAAAUCAAUAAAUAGGAGUGGUUCUGUAGUUACAACUCCAAAAUUUGGAUUGUAUGAGCAGUUAUCUUUUUUAAGAGAUACAGUUAGUUAUCGAACGACCACGAGCAAUAUAAUAGAGGAGCCUUCACUCCUUAUCGAAAACACCCAUUAAUUUUGACGAGUCAUUUAAUGAACAAGCUGCAUGCAGCAGCCAGCUUGUAGAUGAUGGAGACAUGUAAAGCCUCCACUUAAAAAAAAGAAAAAGAAAAAAAAAAAGACAUUGAUUCGAAUUUGUCGAGUUAUUUAGAUUUGGCAGCAUCACGGUUAAAAUCACGCAUCCAAAUAUCUGAUGAUGAACACUUUUUGCUAAGUCUCCGUGAUGACUUUGGUGCUGUACCACGGGGAAAAUAAAAGCGAAUUGAAAAGGAGAAUGCUCGAAUUAAUUUCUGAAUACGUAAAAUAAAAAAUUACAUUUUUAA